AACCCAGGCCCUGCAGAGCCCGGUGGCGCUCCUCCACCCCCAACACAGACGGAGGAAUAGCCCUACAGAUGGGACAAUUCCUUUAACGUGAGUAACACUCCUUAUGGAGCAAUGGUGGGAGCUUUUGCCACCUGAAUGUCUUCAGGGUGGAGAUUCAGGGCACUGGGUGAAGUCUCCUGCCCCCUGAGAUAUGGGGCUGCCCCGAGACCUGUCAGGAACCUCCCAAGCUCUGUGCCAAACUGCCUGAGCACAAAAUGGCCCCUGAGCAAACUUGUUCUGGCAGGUGUGUGAGGGCCAGUCUCUUUUCUUCCUGGGAGGAAGAGAGCCCUCAGGUCACCUCUCAGAAAGCCAGGACACCACCACCCCCAUCCCCAGCACUUCAUUUGAUAUCAAGGGGGUGAACCUCUGGGGAGGGGAGGAGAUUUUUCUUCCCUCACAGGAAUCCUCGAAGCCUCCUUCUAAAGUUUCUGGCCUGAGGAUUAUUUCUAAACUGGCACCAACUCAACACUAAGGCUACUUUUCUAAGGUGCAAAUGCUUUACUUCAGGAGGCACGCGUGACUUUUGUCGAAGACUCAUGACCUGGGUGGAGUCCCCCCGGACGCUCCCUGUCUGAGGCAGAGUUCCAGCUUCAAGGCAACCUUCAAAUAUUCAAAGUCACGUUGCCCCCCACCAAGAGUCCAGCCUUCAUCAGCGGGUCCUUGUAUGUGGCAGACGUGCGCUCACGUACAGUGGACAGAGUGUCUCCCUCAGGCUGGCUCUGGAAGGUCAUGACGUCUGUUGGUCAGAAGGUGGAAGGCCUGUCCUCCUGUCAGUUAUGCUUCCAACGUCCCUCCUCAGCAAUGGCCCUAUUGCACGGAACAUCCAGAGUCCACUGCUCUGUAAGCUUAGCCAGAGGAGAAGUGAUGAAGCAAGCAACCCAGCUCUCUUCUCUCAACCAAACCUGAGGAAGUGUUCUAUCCAUGGAGACAGCACCCUACUGUCGCCCCCAUUCAGCUUCCACAUUCUUCGGUGUGGUUCUGAGACGUGGCAGGCAAAGCUGCCUCUGUGGCUAGAACUCCCCCAUCAGACAACCGUGGUACACCUGAAGUUUAGGACCAUCUGCCUGGGACCCUGUGGAGGGGACUUCCUUUGUCAGUCGAGACCCUCGCUGGACAUGGGCGAGAAGAAGCACAUGAGUCUGUGGGGCCCACAUAUGCCCACCAGGUCCUCUAAGGUCUUGGUUGAUAGAGAGGCUUCCCGUUGGACUCCCAUAAGUGCAAGACUUUGUCCUUGAAGGAAUCGGUGCAUUGAUUUACAUUCUGGCCCAAGUUCUCUGAAGACGGGGACUUUGAGUAGCAGUAGUCCAAGUGACAGGAGCUCCCUCAGACCAUGGAAAGCAAAAUGUGCACAGCUGAAUGUGGACUUUCUGUUUUCACCUCUCCUGCCUUCGUGAUAGAUGCACCUCCAAUAGCAAAACCUGUUCAACCUCUCCCUCAAUCCUCACCCUCUUUUCCUAAGAUCUCCAACAUUUGCAACGUUUCCUUUCCCCUUCCUGGAUUGCUUGUGAGGUAAAGGUUACAGGACACGGUUCUGGUUAAGAGAGAAAGCUACCUUACCCAGGAGGACUUCCACAAUCCUGACACCCAUACACAGCAUCUAUUUGUUAAAAUUAAAUAUAAAUAAUGUAGAAGCUUUACUACACCGAGGAAGAGUUUCCUUUCCUUCAGCCAACCAGUCACAUUAUCUUAAACUGUUAUAUCUCUGGAGAUGCCAGAAGAAUUGGGGUUGGAGGCUCUUUCCCAAAAGUCUAACCUGGAGGUGCAGAGCCUAAAGAGCUGGGUGAAAGCCUCAGUGAGAAAUUG
ensembl:lncRNA